rfam:Streptomyces aureofaciens strain ATCC 10762 contig_60, whole genome shotgun sequence.
CUUCACCGAGCCCAGCAGCAGCGGGAGUUCACGCUCCUGCCCGUACGUCGCCAGCAACGCCUGCGCCUC